rnacentral:rRNA from 1 species
GACGAACGCUGGCGGCGUGCUUAAUACAUGCAAGUCGAACGGAAAGGCCCUGCUUUUGCGGGGUGCUCGUUUGGCGAACGGGUGAGUAACACGUGAGUAUCCUGCCCUUGUCUUUCGGAUAACUCUUGGAAACUGGGGCUAAUACCGGAUAGGUGCUCCUGCUCCAUGGUGGGGGUUGGAAAGUUUCGGCGGUAGGGGAUGGAUUCGCGGCUCAGCAGCUUGUUGGUGGGGUAGUGGCUUACCAAGGCUUUGACGGGUAGCCGGCCUGGGAGGGUGACCGGCCACCAUAGGACUAAGGGACGGCCCAGACGCCUACGGGAGGCAGCGGUGGGAAGUAUUGCACAAUGAGCGGAAGCCUGAUGCAGCGACGCCGCGUGCGGGAUGACGGCCUUCGGGUUGUAAACCGCUUUCGACUGUGACAAGGCGUGAGUGACGGUAAUGGGUAAGGAAGCACCGGCUAACUACGUG